UACGAAGGGGGCUAACGUUGUUCGGAUUUACUGGGCGUAAAGCGCACGUAGGCGGAUUGUUAAGUCAGGGGUGAAAUCCUGGAGCUCAACUCCAGAACUGCCUUUGAUACUGGCAAUCUCGAGUCCGGAAGAGGUAAGGUGGAACUCCUAGUGUAGAGGUGGAAUUCGUAGAUAUUCGGAAGAACACCAGUGGCGAAGGCGACUAACUGGACAUGUAUUGACGCUGAGGUACGAAAGCGUGGGGAGCAAACAGGG
rnacentral:rRNA from 1 species